rnacentral:rRNA from 1 species
GCCUACGGGGGGCAGCAGUAGGGAAUUUUUGUCAAUGGGCGCAAGCCUGAACGAGCAAUGCCGCGUGAACGAGGAAGGUCUUCGGAUCGUAAAGUUCUGUUGAAGGGGAAAAAGAGCGGAGAGAGGAAAUGGUCUCCGAUUGACAUUACCCUUCGAGGAAGUCACGGCUAACUACGUGCCAGCAGCCGCGGUAAUACGUAGGCGGCGAGCGUUAUCCGGAAUGAUUGGGCGUAAAGGGUGCGUAGGCGGCCUGCUAAGUCUGGAGUGAAAGGUACCGGCUCAACCGGUACAGGCUCUGGCAACUG